UAGGGAAUCUUCCACAAUGGACGCAAGUCUGAUGGAGCAACGCCGCGUGAGUGAAGAAGGUUUUCGGAUCGUAAAGCUCUGUUGUUGGUGAAGAAGGAUAGAGGUAGUAACUGGCCUUUAUUUGACGGUAAUCAACCAGAAAGUCACGGCUAACUACGUGCCAGCAGCCGCGGUAAUACGUAGGUGGCAAGCGUUGUCCGGAUUUAUUGGGCGUAAAGCGAGCGCAGGCGGAAGAAUAAGUCCGAUGUGAAAGCCCUCGGCUUAACCGAGGAACUGCAUCGGAAACUGUUUUUCUUGAGUGCAGAAGAGGAGAGUGGAAUUCCAUGUGUAGCGGUGGAAUGCGUAGAUAUAUGGAAGAACACCAGUGGCGAAGGCGACUCUCUGGUCUGCAACUGACGCUGAGGCUCGAAAGCAUGGGUAGCGAACAGG
rnacentral:rRNA from 1 species